GAUUAAUAACACCAACCGCCAUGAAUAGAUGAUUGAAAAAAGAUAGACUAUUUACCUACCACUGAAUUGGUUUUAAACACUGAAUUGGUUUCAUUCUAGGGUAACAUACAAAGCAGUAACCUACUAUUGGUUUCAUUCUAAAGGGAAGUAUGAAAUUGAACUCACAAAGUCUAAAUUUCAGAAGAGAGAUUGAACUCACAAAGUUCUUCUCCGGAUCUGAAAUCCAGACUUCUCCUUCAUCAGCACUUCCCCUGGAUUUCAGAACUAUUUAAGUCUAGAAUGAACUCACAAAGUUUGGAUUUCAGUAUGAAUGAUCAGGAGAUUUAUUUAAUUGAAUAUAAUACAACACAAUAAUAAGAAGAAGAAAAACAGAAUUAACCUCUAGAAACCUCAGAACCUCUAGAAAAGAACCCAACGACGGAACGAUUCUGGAAACUUCUGGAACCUCUAGAAACCUUGUAACCUCGGAACCUCUAGAACGAUUCUGGAAACCCAACGACGGUUUGCACGUGAGAAUCAGGGUUUAAGAAGAUUGUGAAAUAAGAUUGAAAAUCAGGGGGUUUGCGCGCAAGAAGAUUGAGAAGAAAUAAGAAUCAAGGUUUACGAUUUGGGUG
rnacentral:lncRNA from 1 species